UACGAAGGGGGCUAGCGUUGCUCGGAAUCACUGGGCGUAAAGCGCACGUAGGCGGAUCUUUAAGUCAGGGGUGAAAUCCUGGAGCUCAACUCCAGAACUGCCUUUGAUACUGGGGAUCUCGAGUCCGGAAGAGGUGAGUGGAACUCCGAGUGUAGAGGUGAAAUUCGUAGAUAUUCGGAAGAACACCAGUGGCGAAGGCGGCUCACUGGUCCGGCACUGACGCUGAGGUGCGAAAGCGUGGGGAGCAAACAGG
rnacentral:rRNA from 1 species